UACGUAGGGUGCAAGCGUUGUCCGGAAUUAUUGGGCGUAAAGAGCUCGUAGGCGGUUCCGUAAGUCAGAUGUGAAAACUCAGGGCUCAACCCGGAGACGCCAUCUGAUACUGCGGUGACUGGAGUCUGGUAGGGGAACACGGAAUUCCUGGUGUAGCGGUGAAAUGCGCAGAUAUCAGGAAGAACACCCGUGGCGAAGGCGGUUCUCUGGGACGGUACUGACGCUGAGACGCGAAAGCGUGGGGAGCGAACAGG
rnacentral:rRNA from 1 species